UUUUGGCUCUGCAUUUCUAGUUGAUCCUGAGUCUCCAUACGUACCUCCUUUCUGAUCUUGGCUCUCAGCUACAUGAGAGUUGUGAGAGAGGAGCUGGUGGUCACUGUUUGGUUCUGAUACUUCAGGAUUUUCCCAGUCAGAUUCGUUUUUUAGCCAACUGAUACACAUGCUAGCU